rnacentral:rRNA from 1 species
GACGAACGCUGGCGGCGUGCUUAACACAUGCAAGUCGAGCGGUAAGGCCCCUUCGGGGGUACACGAGCGGCGAACGGGUGAGUAACACGUGGGUGACCUGCCCUCAGCUCUGGGAUAAGCCCGGGAAACUGGGUCUAAUACCGGAUAUGACUCCAUGACGCAUGUUGUGGGGUGGAAAGCCUUGUGCGGCUGAGGAUGGGCCCGCGGCCUAUCAGCUUGUUGGUGGGGUGAUGGCCUACCAAGGCGACGACGGGUAGCCGGCCUGAGAGGGCGACCGGCCACACUGGGACUGAGACACGGCCCAGACUCCUACGGGAGGCAGCAGUGGGGAAUCUUGCGCAAUGGGCGAAAGCCUGACGCAGCGACGCCGCGUGAGGGAUGACGGCCU